rnacentral:rRNA from 1 species
AGUCGCGAGUCUUUAGGGACUCCGGCGUACCGCUCAGUAACACGUGGGUAACCUGCCCUAUGCGGGGGGAUAACCUCGGGAAACUGAGAAUAAUACCCCAUAGUUCACCACGCCUGGAACGGUGGGUGGACCAAGGCUCCGGCGGCAUAGGAUGGGCCUGCGGCGUAUCAGGUUGUAGGGGGUGUAAUGUACCCUCUAGCCCUCUACGCGUACGGGUGUUGAGAGACAUCGCCCGGAGAUGGAUUCUGAGACACGAAUCCAGACCCUACGGGGUGCAGCAGGCGCGAAAACUUGGCAAUGCGAGAAAUCGUGACCAGGGAACUCCAAGUGCGUCGGGUAAGACCGAUGCUUUUCUUGACUCUUCAAAGGUCUUGGAAUAAGGGGUGGGUAAGGA